rnacentral:tRNA from 1 species
AAUAAAGUAGUAUAAAAUAAAUAUAAUUAGUUUACACCUAAUAGAUAAAAAUUUUCUUUAUUU